rnacentral:rRNA from 1 species
AAGGGAGAGGAAUAAGUAGAAAUCUACCCUCGGGUCGGGGAUAGCGGCGGGAAACUGCCGGUAAUACCCGAUAACGUCUUUGGACCAAAGGUGUGAUUCCGUCUGAGGAUGAGUCUACUUCCUAUUAGCUAGUUGGCGGGGUAAUGGCCCACCAAGGCAACGAUGGGUAGCAGGUGUGAGAGCAUGACCUGCCUCAUUGGGACUGAGACACUGCCCAGACACCUACGGGUGGCUGCAGUCGAGAAUCUUCGGCAAUGGACGAAAGUCUGACCGAGCGACGCCGCGUGCGGGAUGAAGGCCUUCGGGUUGUAAACCGCUGUCGGAGGGGAACAAAUGUACGGGGGUUCUCCCCUGUAUUUGAGUGAACCUAGGAGGAAGGAGAGGCUAAGCUCGUGCCAGCAGCCGCGGUAAGACGAGCUCUCCGAACGUUAUUCGGUAUCACUGGGCUUAAAGAGUUCGUAGGCGGUCUGGUAGGUGAGGUGUGAAAUCCCCCGGCUCAACCGGGGAACUGCGCUUCAAACCGCCGGACUUGAGGGAGACAGAGGUGGGCGGAGCAGAUGGUGGAGCGGUGAAAUGCGUUGA